rnacentral:rRNA from 1 species
AUUGAACGCUGGCGGCAGGCCUAACACAUGCAAGUCGAACGGUAACAGGAAGAAGCUUGCUUCUUUGCUGACGAGUGGCGGACGGGUGAGGAAUGUCUGGGAAACUGCCUGAUGGAGGGGGAUAACUACUGGAAACGGUAGCUAAUACCGCAUAAUGUCGCAAGACCAAAGAGGGGGACCUUCGGGCCUCUUGCCAUCGGAUGUGCCCAGAUGGGAUUAGCUAGUAGGUGGGGUAACGGCUCACCUAGGCGACGAUCCCUAGCUGGUCUGAGAGGAUGACCAGCCACACUGGAACUGAGACACGGUCCAGACUCCUACGGGAGGCAGCAGUGGGGAAUAUUGCACAAUGGGCGCAAGCCUGAUGCAGCUAUGCCGCGUGUAUGAAGAAGGCCUUCGGGUUGUAAAGUACUUUCAGCGGGGAGGAAGGGAGUAAAGUUAAUACCUUUGCUCAUUGACGUUACCCGCAGAAGAAGCACCGGCUAACUCCGUG